rnacentral:lncRNA from 1 species
AUGAAAUAUGGUGUAAUUUGGGGAAGAAAUAAGGAGUAUUUAUAGAAAAAAUAAAGAAUUAAAGAAAAUAUAAAAAGGAGUAAUAUCAUUGAGCCAAAUGGUUCUUUGAAAUUAAAGAAGAAAAAAAAUUCUUCCGUCAAACUAGACGUUUCGUAGAUUUUUUUUUAAAANAAAUUGUGAUUGGUGCGUGGUAUACACACACUUUCUCUCUCCUCC